rnacentral:rRNA from 1 species
GCGGCACGCUUAACACAUGCAAGUCGAGCGGUAACAUGACUAGUAGCAAUACUAGUUGAUGACGAGCGGCGGACGGGUGAGUAACACGUAGGAACUUGCCCAGUAGUGGGGGACAACCAAGGGAAACUUUGGCUAAUACCGCAUAUUCUCGAGAGAGGAAAGCUGCCGCAAGGUGGCGCUAUUGGAGAGGCCUGCGUCCGAUUAGCUAGUUGGUGAGGGAAAGGCUCACCAAGCCGACGAUCUGUAGCUGGUCUGAGAGGACGACCAGCCACACUGGAACGGAGACACGGUCCAGACUCCUACGGGAGGCAGCAGUGGGGAAUCUUGGACAAUGGGCGCAAGCCUGAUCCAGCAAUGCCGCGUGCAGGAUGAAGGCCUUCGGGUUGUAAACUGCUUUUGUACGGAACGAAACGGCCCUUUCUAAUACAGGGGGCUAAUGACGGUACCGUAAGAAUAAGCACCGGCUAACUACGUGCCAGCCGCCGCCGUAA